AACUAUACCCAUACCACCCUGAAUGCAUCUGAUCUCAUCAGAUCUGGGAAGCUAAGCAGGGCCGGUCCUGGUUAGUACUUGGAUGGGAGACCAAAAGGCUGGACUCUGGACCAUUGUGCAUU
rfam:Sus scrofa isolate TJ Tabasco breed Duroc chromosome 18, whole genome shotgun sequence.